rnacentral:rRNA from 1 species
AACGAACGCUGGCGGCAGGCUUAACACAUGCAAGUCGAGCGCCCAGCAAUGGGAGCGGCGCACGGGUGAGUAACACGUGGGAACGUGCCCUUUGGUUCGGAAUAACGUAGGGAAACUUGCGCUAAUACCGGAUAAGCCCUUACGGGGAAAGAUUUAUCGCCAUUGGAGCGGCCCGCGUUGGAUUAGCUAGUUGGUGGGGUAAAAGCCUACCAAGGCAACGAUCCAUAGCUGGUCUGAGAGGACGACCAGCCACACUGGGACUGAGACACGGCCCAGACUCCUACGGGAGGCAGCAGUGGGGAAUCUUGGACAAUGGGGGAAACCCUGAUCCAGCCAUGCCGCGUGAGUGAUGAAGGCCUUAGGGUUGUAAACUCUUUCGGCGGGACGAUAAUGACGGUACCGCAGAAGAAGCUCCGGCUAACUUCGUGCCAGCAGCCGCGGUAA